GUUGGUGAUCCAGUGCAACAGGAACCAUGAACUGGUACGGGCGUUAUAUCAGAACCUUUACGGGAUGUCUUAAAGUGCUCCAGGUGAGCUUCUCGCUGCUUUCAGUUGUGUUUCUGGGAGCAGCCUACUUCCGUUUCGACACGGCCUUGGUGACGCUAAAUAUGCAUGCUCUCGCACUGCUCUUGGUGAACGGGUGUUUCAGCAUCACGGGACUGGUACUGCUCGUAUCUCUUUCGAUUCGAAGCAACGACGUGCCUUAUUCCCUGCUCUGCAGGCUACUGUCUAUUGUCGGCACGGUCGUCUACGUCCUCGCAGGCUUUGCAUACAUCGGUCUCGAGAACACAGCGUAUAGCCCUCGCUUUGGGCUCAUCGCCGCUGCGUUCACUGUUCUGAAUGGGCUGACCUUCUUUGCAGAAGCCAUUGUGUCCUACGAACCACAAGUGCAUUAAAGUCCCAACUUGAGUUUUAA